rnacentral:rRNA from 1 species
UGGCCUACGGGGCGCAGCAGUAGGGAAUUUUCGUCAAUGGGCGCAAGCCUGAACGAGCAAUGCCGCGUGAACGAGGAAGGUCUUCGGAUCGUAAAGUUCUGUUGAAGGGGAAAAAGAGCGGAGAGAGGAAAUGAACUCCGAUUGAUAUUACCCUUCGAGGAAGUCACGGCUAACUACGUGCCAGCAGCCGCGGUAAUACGUAGGUGGCGAGCGUUAUCCGGAAUGAUUGGGCGUAAAGGGUGCGUAGGCGGCCUGCUAAGGCUGGAGCGAAAGGUACCGGCUCAACCGGUACUGGCUCUGGAAAA